AAAACCCCCAAGUGGGUGCGUCGUUUACGACAAUUUUGAUUCGAUGGAGCGCGAAGACGGCGUUCAACAGCCAUUGCCGUCUGAGCAAGUGAUGAGUGAAGUUCACCUCGGCUGCCCUCCUAACCACUCUGGUCCUCAUCUCUCCCAUUUUACCAUCUCGCUACCGCCUCGCUACGAAAAUUCCAGUUUGAGAGGAAUUAUUGAUGCAGUUGAGGAUAUAUCAAUUUCUGCAUCUACCAUGUUGGACUUGGAUGAAGAUGGUGAUCUUAUUCUAA
rnacentral:misc_RNA from 1 species